GAUGAAGAACGCAGCGGAAUGCGAUACGUAAUGUGAAUUGCAGAAUUCAGUGAAUCAUCGAGUCUUUGAACGCACAUUGCGCCCCCUGGUAAUCCGGGGGGCAUGCCUGUCCGAGCGUCAUUGCUGCCCUCAAGCACGGCUUGUGUGUUGGGCCUCCGUCCUCCUCCCGGGGGACGGGCCCGAAAGGCGGCGGCGGCACCGCGUCCGGUCCUCGAGCGUAUGGGGCUUCGUCACCCGCUCUUGUAGGCCCGGCCGGCGCUUGCCGACACAUCAAUCUUUUUUCCAGGUUGACCUCGGAUCAGGUAGGGAUACCCGCUGAACUUAAGCAUAUCAAUAAGCGGAGGA
rnacentral:misc_RNA from 1 species